CCUACGGGUGGCUGCAGUGGGGAAUAUUGGACAAUGGGCGAAAGCCUGAUCCAGCCAUGCCGCGUGUGUGAAGAAGGCCUUCGGGUUGUAAAGCACUUUCAGUGGGGAAGAAAGCCUUGGGGCUAAUACCCUCGAGGAAGGACAUCACCCACAGAAGAAGCACCGGCUAACUCCGUGCCAGCAGCCGCGGUAAUACGGAGGGUGCGAGCGUUAAUCGGAAUUACUGGGCGUAAAGCGCGCGUAGGCGGUCUGAUAAGCCGGUUGUGAAAGCCCCGGGCUCAACCUGGGAACGGCAUCCGGAACUGUCAGGCUAGAGUGCAGGAGAGGAAGGUAGAAUUCCCGGUGUAGCGGUGAAAUGCGUAGAGAUCGGGAGGAAUACCAGUGGCGAAGGCGGCCUUCUGGACUGACACCGACGCUGAGGUGCGAAAGUGUGGGUAGCAAACAGGAUUAGAUACCCCAGUAGUC
rnacentral:rRNA from 1 species